AAAUCCCGCCAGAGAAGGUCUAGCCAGCCACUCUGUAUCCAGCCUUGGGACUGAAGCGGUAACGCCAGGUCUAAGCGUAGGUAGGAAAGGUAGUAGGCCGAAAGCGAAAGCUGAAGAUGUAGAAUCCCGAAAUUCCUAAAGGGAAAGGUCGAUGUAUGGGACGAGCAGAAGACAAUACUGGGCUUAGCGAUAAAGGCGAGUUAAGUCUGGCGCCCCGGGAUCGAAGGUCU
rnacentral:ncRNA from 1 species